rnacentral:rRNA from 1 species
AUUGAACGCUGGCGGCAGGCCUAACACAUGCAAGUCGAGCGGAUGAAGGGAGCUUGCUCCUGGAUUCAGCGGCGGACGGGUGAGUAAUGCCUAGGAAUCUGCCUGGUAGUGGGGGAUAACGUCCGGAAACGGGCGCUAAUACCGCAUACGUCCUGAGGGAGAAAGUGGGGGAUCUUCGGACCUCACGCUAUCAGAUGAGCCUAGGUCGGAUUAGCUAGUUGGUGGGGUAAAGGCCUACCAAGGCGACGAUCCGUAACUGGUCUGAGAGGAUGAUCAGUCACAGGGAAAAUGAGACGGGGCCCAGCCCCUGAGGGGGGGCGGAGGUGGGAAUUGUUGAAAAAGGGGGGAAGGCUGAACCCAGCCAGGCGGCGGGUGGAAAGAAGGUUUUUGAUUGGAAAACCCUUUUAAGUGGGGAGAAAGGAAAGUAAGUUAAUCCCUUGCUUUUUGAACGUCCCCAACAGAAAAAGCACCGCCAAACUCGGU